GUCUGAAGUUCAGAGGAGAGUUCAGGCUGGAAAGAAUAUAUUCGGAGUUGUAAACGUGAGGCCAGGCAGGAUCACGAGGAAGUGAGUGUCAGUAGAGAAGAAUGUGCAUAGCCUUAGGCACUUGAGUGAAUAGGCUCAACUGUGUGGAAGUCUGCUGACAGGUCAUCUAAGAUGAGGACUCUCAACUGACCGUUGGAUUUGCAAUGUGGACCUGAAGAGUAAUUGUGGUGAAGUUGUGAGAAUGAAACUGAAGUGGGUUCAAGAAAGAACGAGAGGAGAGAAAGUGGAGUUUGAGUAUAAAUAACUCUUUUGGAGAGGAUUGGUGUAAUUGAAUGGCAGGGGUAUGAGAUUUGAGGUCAAGGAAAUAUUUUUAUUAUUUUUUACGAUGAGAGAAAUUGUAGUACACAUGUAUAUUUAUGGGAAUGACUCAGUAGAAAGACCAAAAAUUUCAUAUGUGAGAGAAGGACCAAUUGAUGAAGCGAUGUUCUUGCGUGGGCGCGAGGAUGGGAUCGAGUGCACAGCGGAAGGUGGCACUUAGGAACACGCAGCACUCGUCCAUGCCAGCAGGAGGCAAGGCAGAAUGGAAAUAAAACUUUAACCAAAAGAGCAUGGGCAGAUAUUUCCCGGAUCUGAACAGGAAUAGCUGGUGUCUGGACUCUAUGAAGAAUCUUCAUGUGCAGUGAUAGAAGAAUAAACACAUUUGUAAACUUUUGUAGUGCACAGUGACCGGUGACCAGCAGCAUGUGUUUCCAUAGGCAUCUUCUCUCAGUACCCCAGAAGGUGAAUUGCCAGUGAGUCCUGCCAGGAUGCCCCUCGGUGACUGCACCACCCAGUAAAAAGACAUCCCUUAACUAUGGCAAAACAACAACAACAACGACGACAAAAAACAAAACAAAACAAAACAAAACCCUGCAUCAAUUUGAUAAAUAAUCCUCCCCGUUGAUGUCACUGGUUUUUUUCUGCACAUCUUCUCACUGAUAUUUAAAUGCUGAGCUUACACUUUCCAUGGACAUGCUUAAUGACUAAACAAUAGUUGAAUUCUAAAUUAAUCAACUGACCAACCAGUAAGAAUUUAUUGAGCAACUCCUUUGAAGCCGUCUAUCUGUUAGGUGCUGUGGGAGCACAAAAGAAAUAGGACAUCAUCUCUGCCUCAGGGAAUUUAGUGUUUUGGGGAAAACCUGAGUGGUAUACACAAAGCAAUUGAGGAACAACCUAGGACCUUGUAGUCCAUUAGGAUUUCCAAAAAUAGAAAGAGAAUGGAAAGUCACCUGGCUAGGAGAAGCCAGUGGAAACUUGACACGAAGAAAAAAGAGCAGCUAAUUUCAUUCCUGUCCACCAGUUAUUUAUGUGUUUAUCUUUAAUUACAUUUGUUUGAUUUCCCUUAUUAAAGUCUGAUGUCUUAAAAAAGCAGAAAAGUGAGGCAGGUCAGCAGGGGAUGUAAGUUGGGAAGAAAGACAGGUGAGGGCAAGAAUUUAGGCAGGAGCCACAGUGUUGGUUGUGCAGGUGAAGGUCAGGUGACGGAGGGUAACCAGUCAUGGAUGACCCAGGCAGGAGCCAUAACCAAAAUGUUAGAAAAAGUUGGUAAGAAAUUGUUCCAGGCCAGGCGCAGUGGCUCAUGCUUGUAAUUCCAGCACUUUGGGAGGCCAAGGUAGGCGGAUCACUUGAGGUCAGGAGUUUGAAACCAGCCUGGCCAACAUGGAGAUACCCUGUCUCUACUAAAAAUACAAAAACUAUCUGGGCAUGGUGGCACGUGCCUGUAAUCCCAGCUACUCAGGAGGCUGAGGCAGGAGAAUCACUUCAACCCAGGAGACAGAGAUUGCAGUGAGCCGAGAUUGCGCCACUGCACUCCAGCCUGGGUGACAGAGUGAGACACCAUCUCAAAAAAAAAAAAAAAAAAAAGUUUUCCAGGAACAAGGGCAGAACUUAGCUACUGAGUUCUACCGAAGGCCAGGAUCUGAGUCAAGCACCAAGGUUAACUCCCAGGGAAGCCAAAUGUUCAUAAAAGGAAAUCUUUCCAAAUCACAAAUAUCAGGGCCUGCUAGGUAAAUUCUAGCUUCUCUGUGCCAAGGGCUGUGUUCCUACUCUCAAGCGCCACUCACUGACUGUCUGGGUGGUGCUGUGGGCUUCUGUACUUUUAGCUUCAUCAGCUGCACCUGUCCUCUUUUCCCAUAAGACGCCAGGACCCUCAGAAUCUUCCCUCUUACCAGAAAUUUGGGUUUUGGGCUGGGUCCCUGGACCGAAUUCUGACACUCUAAGUGUUUGCAGACUAUUUUGAUAGAGGUAGUGAUUAUGAUGCCAGAAAAGUGAAGCCAGUUUUUAUUAGAAUGUUGGCCAUCUUGAAUAAUCCAUUCCCCCACUUCCAUGGGACAUCUUCAAAGAGAUUUUUAAAAGACAAAUAUGAUCUCUACUAAUGAGAUAUCUUCAGAAGGUAGAAUUAAAGCAAAAUUAAUGUACACAGAAUUCCUAUUUCAAUAUAUUUAUUAUUCACAACAUUUCUACACACACACACACACACACACACACGCAUACACACACACACACACACAUUCCUGCACAGGUAAUUUAUAGUGGCUAAUCCACUCAGUACUGUGGACUUUGGUUUUAGAGAGCAUUGUUUUCAAGGGUAGUACAGAUAAUCUGCCUCCAACAUAUUCUAUUCUUAGGGCUCUAAAGUCAAAGGAGUUUGUACAGACCCCUCCCUGCUAAGGUAAUUAUGUCCUCUUCAUAUCUUGCAUGAAUGUUUGCUCUUAGAGUGAUGAUCUGAAAUAUCAACAUCCUGCAGGACCUAGUCUGGUCUGGAAGAAGAAGAGAUAUGUCAUCUCUAUGGGCUUUGAUCUUGGUAGGCAUAUUUAUUCACCAGGUACACAAAUGCAACUUUAAACCCUCAGCCACAUUUAGUAAACUAUUUCUUCAUCUGUUGCAGUCUUAUUCUGAUGGGAAAAAUUUCCUCUGUUUUUCAAGUUUAAUUUAUUAUUUUUUCAAAUUACAAGAGCAAUGCAUAUUAUUGUAACCAGAGAGAUAAUGCCAAGAUCGGUAGAGAAAAACUUAAUAAUCUCGACCUCCUAUAACCAUCUCUCUUCCCAUCCCCCUGAGGUAAUAGCAAAUGUUAACAGCCUGCUACCUCUGCACAUCUUCCUUCCUUCAUGAUUUCCCUACACACACACCCAUACACACACGUGCGCAUGCACACACACACCCACUCAAACACACGGUGUACGUCCAGGAGUCAGAAGUGGCUACAGAGAUGGAGUCUUCAUUAUUAAGGUGAGAAAAUGAUAAGACAAAUCACCCUUCUAUUUCUACCUCCAUGGAAAGCUAAAUCUUCCAUUUAUAUUUUUAUAGUCUUUUCAGCACUGUCUUAAUGGUCUUGAGAACAUAUUACCCUGAAAAUGUAAAAAUAGAGCCAAAGAGGUGAAAGCUCCUUGCGUGGCUUCUGACCAGGGAUGGCUGCUUCCAUGGGCUUUAGCUCUGCCAGUUCUCCCUAGACUGGGGCAGGUAGGCAGUGAGGAUUUCAGCAUAUAUUAAGUGCCAAAUAGAAACAAAUAUUUGUUUCUAUUAUUAGAGUAAAACAACAGAAGCCUGUAUUUUGACCAGAGGCCUGGAAUCUACUACUUUGUGAAUUAGCUAAGCAGCCCCAGUUGAACGUGAACCAGCCUGGAACAGAGUGGACUGCAGAGGCAAUAAACAAGGAUGUCGUGAAGACCCUGUUUCUUUCUAGCGUGGCAUCCCAGGAUAAAAUAUACAAUUAAUAGAUACUGGAAGGCACACUUUCUGAUUAUGGAGAAACCAUCAAAUUUGGCCAUGGUUUUGCAUAGGGGCUAGGUUGGAAAUUCAACUAGAACAAUUUAAUGUCUACUGGCAAAGCUUCUUAAUUAUGGAAUGAAAGCUACCUCAAAGUGCCUGGAGGCUUGAGCUGAAUGGUGAGAUCUUCAUUGACCUGACCUCCUCUGUGCUGAAGUUUGCUGACUUGAGGAGACCUCCCCUAAGAACAGACCCUCCCCUCAGGGCUGCCUUCAGCGAUGAUGAUUGACGCUGGCAAGUCAGUCAAGUGGGAAGUUUGCAGCACACACGGCUCAAAGGACUCACCCAGUUUGCCCUGUUGGAGGAUGUUAACCUUUGCACACUAUUUUUGACAUUUAAUUUUUCCUUCCAUUUAGUGCAUGACUCUUUUUUUGUCUUUCUAGUAAAUUCAUUUAGUUAGUAUUAUUCUUUGCCUAUUUUGUCUUUUAAACUUCUGGUUUUUAAUCUUUCGUAUUUUAUAUUAUUUAUUCUUGGUGUUCAUGCUUCUUAUUCUCUUUUCUGCUAUUUUAUCUUAUUGUUGUGAUAAUAGUAUAUUUGCAGUAAGCUCCUUUUACUAACUUCAUUUAUUUCUACAUAAUGUUUUAUCUGGCUUUGACCACAACUAUAUAAGGGGACAGCAAAGUGGAGCCACAAAUGGGAAGAUUGUGAAGAGGGCCCUUGACCAAAUAAAGAGGAAACCUUUUCCCUGAAGAGGACUUUUCAGCAACCCAACUAAUUCACUCAUUUUUCUCAAAGUUGAAUUUUCUUCCACAAAAACCCCUUGACUUUGUUAUUGAGUAGAUCCUCAGGCCUAGGAAAAUAAUGUCUACAUCGACCAAGGAGAUAUCUGAACUACCAGUACUUCCUGCAGCAUCUUUGUUUUGGUUGGCCUGGGCAGGUGGUGGGGCACGGGGGUGAAGGGAGGGGUCUGAGGUGGGUAGAAAACAAGGGUAUCCCCAGGGCUAUGGGAGGAAGGUCUAGUGGACUGGAACCAUUGUAUCUGUCGAUUAGUGGAGGCAAUCAUAUUUGUGAUCCUUGAGCUAAUGGUCUAGUAAGACUAUAAACUUGUUCAUAAUUAAAGCUGGCAAGAGGGUUCUUACCCCAGGUAAUGAGACAAGAGUGAACCACAGGAGGAAGCCAGCACAGAGACCGUAUGUAAUGAGUCCCUUCAUGGGAAAGGGAUGGAAAACAGUCCUCAGGCUAGCAGCAGAGGGAGUGCUGUCUGUUGUGGGUCUUGACCUGCUUAAGAGGUCUGACUUGAGGUGAGGCUGAAAGACAGCCCCGCUGGGGGCUUCAAGAUAACGAUGGACGGAUAGAGUUCUCUCACCGCUGAAUAUCUCCUAAGGCAUUAGUAAAACACUAUUUAAAUAUUUCCUCUGUAACUCAGUUGUGCUAUUAAAGCUCUGUUUCUCAAAGUAGGUCUGUAGAUGUUCUUGAGAGAGUGAGUGUUUCAUGAGAAUUUUCAAAUUUUCUGCUUUCGUUUUGAAGAUAAUCUUAAAGAAAUAAAAUCAAAAUGUUCUACUACAUUAUUUUUAGUGCUGAAGGCUGAGUUUGGUGCCAAAUGAAGAACAAAUAACAUCACGGCAUGCUAUGGAAAUGUCGAUUUUGCAUUAAGUUUGAAUAGAGAAAGAUGUGGGAAAAUUGAUCAAUUUUGUGGCCCAAAGGUAGUACAGACAUCAUUAGUUCAAAAUGUCUUCUGUCAUAGCAGUGGCAUAUCAUGUUGAGAAGUUAUUGUGAGACAUACCAACUUGAACUGUCAUUCAAUAGCAGGAAAGAAUACUGUUAUUUUUAUUCAAUAGUAUUUUUAAUGUUAAUCUUCAGUAUUUUUAUUAUUAUGUACUUAUUGUGGUGCACUAUUAAAUUUAUCAGCCCCUCAAACUAAUGGAUUAGUAGUUAAACAAGCUUAUUUACCAAAAACGAUUAAUCCUACGAUAACUUGAAGAAAGACUUAAGAUAUGCUUCCAGUAUUGUUCAAAGUCAAAAGAAUCAAGAGGACAGAAAGUGAAGCAUAAAACAUACAAAUAGUAGGUGUAUUAAACCCAACGCCAGCAAUUUAGUUCCAGCAAAAUAUCAUUUAUCACACUGAUGUUUUCUAUAUGAACUCUAGUGGCUUUUGUAUGUUUGCUUGUUUUUAAUUUGCAGCUUUGCUUGAGUUUUGAAGUAAUUUAAGAGCUAUAUGUAUGGGAAAUUUAUAUCUGUUCAUUUUGAAGUAACACAAUAAAAAUAAUGUAGAGCA
rnacentral:lncRNA from 10 species